rnacentral:rRNA from 1 species
UACGGGGGAGCAAGCGUUGUUCGGAUUUACUGGGCGUAAAGGGCGCGUAGGCGGUCAGCACAAGUCAAUUGUGAAAUCUCCGAGCUUAACUCGGAAAGGUCAACUGAAACUGUGCGACUAGAGUGCGGAAGGGCAACUGGAAUUCUUGGUGUAGCGGUGAAAUGCGUAGAUAUCAAGAGGAACACCUGCGGCGAAGGCGGGUUGCUGGGCCGACACUGACGCUGAAGCGCGAAAGCGUGGGAGCGAACAGG